rnacentral:rRNA from 1 species
GACGAACGCUGGCGGCGUGCCUAAUACAUGCAAGUAGAACGCUGAAGCGAGGCGCUUGCUCUUCUUGGAAGAGUUGCGAACGGGUGAGUAACGCGUAGGUAACCUGCCUUGUAGCGGGGGAUAACUAGUGGAAACGAUAGCUAAUACGGCAUAACAAUGGAUGGCACAUGUCAUUUAGUUGAAAGUGGCAAUUGCGGCACUACAAGAUGGACCUGCGUUGUCUUAGCUAGGAGGUGAGGUAAUUGCUCACCUAGGGGGGGAUACAGAGCCGACCUGAGAGGGUGGUCAGCCACACUGGGACGGAGACCCGGCCCAGACUGCCUCGGGAGGCAGCAGGAGGGAAUCGUCGGCAAUGAGGGCAAAACUGACCGAGAAACGCCGCGUGAGUGAAGAAGGAUGUCGGAUCGGAAAGCUCGGCUGUAAGUUAAGAAAGGGUGUGAGCGUGGAAAGUUCACAGUGUGACGGUAGCUGAUCAGAAAGGGACGGCUAACUACGUG